AAUAUUUGACAAUGGGCGAAAGCCUGAUCCAGCCAUGCCGCGUGUGUGAAGAAUGUCUUCGGUUUUUAAAGCACUCUAAGCUGGGAGGAAGGGCGGUAAGCUAAUACCUUGCUGUGUUGACGUUACCGACAGAAUAAGCACCGGCUAACUUCGUGCCAGCAGCCGCGGUAAUACGAAGGGUGCAAGCGUUAAGCGGAAUUACUGGGCGUAAAGCGCGCGUAGGUGGUUUGAUAAGUUGGAUGUGAAAGCCCCGGGCUCAACCUGGGAAUUGCAUCCAAAACUGUCUGACUAGAGUAUGGCAGAGGGUGGUGGAAUUUCCUGUGUAGCGGUGAAAUGCGUAGAUAUAGGAAGGAACACCAGUGGCGAAGGCGACCACCUGGGCUAAUACUGACACUGAGGUGCGAAAGCGUGGGGAGCAAACAGG
rnacentral:rRNA from 1 species